AAAAGUAGAGGCGCGUUUUCCAUCAGUAGCCGUAUUUACGCUUCCGCGGCGGUCAAAAAUCCGGCGAAAGGGGCAAACGCCGAAGAAAAGUGUCUGCGGAGGCCAUUUUUCUGGGCGGUAUGGCAAAAAGCCUGCCGACUGUCAUCUUAAACAGAUGGAGAGCUACUGAA
rnacentral:ncRNA from 1 species